rnacentral:rRNA from 1 species
UACGAAGGGGGCUAGCGUUGCUCGGAAUCACUGGGCGUAAAGCGCACGUAGGCGGCUUUCUAAGUCAGGGGUGAAAUCCCGGGGCUCAACCUCGGAACUGCCUUUGAUACUGCAAAUCUCGAGUCCGGAAGAGGUGAGUGGAAUUCCUAGUGUAGAGGUGAAAUUCGUAGAUAUUAGGAAGAACACCAGUGGCGAAGGCGGCUCACUGGUCCGGUACUGACGCUGAGGUGCGAAAGCGUGGGGAGCGAAGUGGGA